UAAGGAAUAUUGGUCAAUGGACGCAAGUCUGAACCAGCCAUGCCGCGUGAAGGAUGAAGGUCCUCUGGAUUGUAAACUUCUUUUAUCUGGGACGAAAACGGGAUUUUUAUCUCAAUUGACGGUACCAGAGGAAUAAGCACCGGCUAACUCCGUGCCAGCAGCCGCGGUAAUACGGAGGGUGCGAGCGUUAUCCGGAUUUACUGGGUUUAAAGGGCGCGUAGGUGGGCUUAUAAGUCAGUGGUGAAAUCUCCGAGCUUAACUUGGAAACUGCCGUUGAUACUAUAGGUCUUGAAUUAUCUGGAGGUAAGCGGAAUAUGUCAUGUAGCGGUGAAAUGCUUAGAUAUGACAUAGAACACCAAUUGCGAAGGCAGCUUACUACAUAUAAAUUGACGCUGAGGCACGAAAGCGUGGGGAUCAAACA
rnacentral:rRNA from 1 species